CACCAAAAAAAAAAUAAAAAAAUAAAAAGCUUGUAAACGAGGAAAAAAAGGGUUAAAAGGGUUUGCAAAAGAGGUCUGCGAAUCUGGUGCCUCUCCCAUUCGGAAAUAUCCCACCUCAUCGCGAACCCAAAUUCUACGCCGUCCGGAAGUAACACCAUAGCCUUCUAGGGCUUUGAAGAGGAGUGUGAAUGAAGGCGUUGGGUGUUUGAUAUAGUUUUGCACUUAAUUGAAUUGAAGAAAGGUGUAGUGAGAUUUGAGGGUUUGGUAUUUGGUGCGAACUAGGGGCAUUGAUGGCUGAUCGAAACCUGGCUGUAGUGAAGCCAAUAUGGAUGAAGCAAGCGGAGGAGGCUAGGGUGAAGAGUGAGGCUGAGAAAGCCGCUGCGGCAAAAGCUGCUUUUGAAGCCACAUUCAAGGAUGUGGACAAAAGCAAAGAGAAAGAGGUUGCGGCCGGGGCCGGAUCUGAUAGUGAAUCGGAAGAAGCUGAGGACUUGGCCAACAAGCCAAUUGGACCCGUGGACUCUACAAAGUGCACUGCGGCAGGGGCCGGCAUUGCAGGCGGUACGGCCUGUGCGCCGUCUUCGUUUAUGGUGGUGACGAAGGACUCUGAUGGGAGGAAGGUUCCGAAUGGCGGUGCGCAGAUUAAGGUGAAGGUUAUGCCUGGAGUGGGGGUUGGCGGUUCAGAGCAAGAAGGAAUGGUGAAGGAUAUGGGCGAUGGGACGUAUACAGUAACUUAUGUGGUUCCGAAACGAGGGAAUUACAUGGUGACAAUUGAGUGUAAUGGGAGACCUAUCAUGGGUAGCCCUUUCCCUGUGUUCUUCAGUGCAGGUAGUACUAGUACUGGAGGACUACUGGGAUUGGCUCCUGCAUCCUCAUUUCCAAAUCUAGUCAACCAAACGAUGCCUAACAUGCCAAAUUAUUCAGGUUCUGUCUCAGGGGCAUUUCCCGGAUUACUGGGAAUGAUUCCCGGCAUUGUUCCUGGUGCUUUAGGUGGGGCUAUUUUGCCCGGAAUUGGAGCAUCUCUUGGGGAAGUUUGUAGAGAAUACCUUAAUGGUCGGUGUGCCAAAGCCGAUUGUAAGUUGAAUCACCCACCUCACCAGCUGCUAAUGACUGCAUUGGCUGCAACAACCAAUAUGGGAAAUGUUAGUCAAGUGCCUAUGGCACCUUCUGCAGCUGCAAUGGCUGCUGCUCAGGCAAUUGUCGCUGCCCAGGCUCUUCAAGCCCAUGCAAAUCAGGUGCAUGCACAAGCUCAGUCAAACAAAGACUCCUCUGGUUCACCUGACAAAGCUGGGAAGGCUGAUGUGUUAAAGAGAACACUUCAAGUUAGCAAUCUUAGCCCACUUCUCACUGUGGAACAGCUGAAACAACUUUUUAGCUUUUGUGGUACGGUUGUUGAAUGUACCAUCACUGAUUCAAAGCAUUUUGCUUAUAUAGAAUACUCAAAACCUGAAGAAGCAACUGCUGCCCUGGCAUUGAAUAAUAUGGAUGUUGGAGGCCGUCCUUUGAAUGUUGAGAUGGCAAAAUCAGUACCUCAGAAAUCUGCUAUGAAUUCUCAAAUGACUUCUUCAUCUUUGCCCAUGGUGAUGCAGCAAGCUGUUGCAAUGCAACAGAUGCAGUUCCAGCAGGCUUUGCUUAUGCAGCAAACUAUGACUGCUCAACAGGCAGCUAACCGAGCUGCAACCAUGAAGACGGCAACAGAGUUAGCUGCAGCCAGAGCAGCAGAAAUAAGUAAGAAAUUAAAAGCUGAUGGAGUGGAAAUUGAAGAGACUGAAACAAAAGAGAAAUCUAGGUCUCCAUCACCUCGUGCAAGGUCGAAAUCCAGAUCGAGAUCACCUAUCAACUAUCGCCGAAGGUGGAAGUCUCCUUCUUACUCUCCUCCACCCCGCUAUACAAGAGGUCGUAGAUCCAGAUCCCCAUUCAGGUCACGCCACCAUUCAAUCUAUGACAAUGGCCGACGGUCAUAUAGAGAUGUUAGGAAUGGCAGUGAAAGAAGUAGAAGGCGGGAUUCAGAUAGAUCAGAUGAUCAUCAGUCAUAUGCCUCAAGGAGAAAUAGGAGUAGGAGUGUUUCUCCUCGAACAAGAAAAUCACAUCGAGUUGAUUCGUUAUCACCCAAACAUCGACGAGAACGUUCUCCACGUAGAGCAACUCGUGCUGUGUCUAGAUCACCAGGUCAUCAUACGGGGAGUAGGUUAUCUCCAAGAGGUGAUGAAGACAAAUCCAAGCACAAAAAAAGUUCUAGGUCCAAUUCUCCAGAGGAUAAACAUCUCUUAAAUGACAAAAAAGAUGAAACCCACUACGAAACAUCAAAGCAUCGAGAAAGAAGGCGAUCCAGGUCAGUUUCAGCGGAAGGUAAGCAUCACAGAAGGCGGUCAUCUCCAAGAAGUCUGGAUGAAAACAAAUCCAAACACAAGAGGCGGUCUAGGUCAAAAUCUGUGGAAGUAAAGCUGCGGUCAGCGGAUGAAACUAGGGAUCGUAAACUAAAACACCGUAGUGGAAGGCGGUCCAGGUCAAAAUCUUUGGAAGGUAAGCAUCUCUCUGAUGAGAAAACUAAUGAAAUGAGAGAUGAAAAAUCAAAACAUCGUGAUAGAAGACGUUCAAGGUCAAAAUCUGUGGAAGGGAGGCGUCACUCGAAGGAGGUGGAUGGAGGUAGAGAUAAAAAAUCCAAGCGUCGUGAUAGAAGGCAAUCAAGGUCAAGGUCCAGAUCAUCAUCUCCAGAUCCUAAGCUUGCCAGAGGAGGGGAGUCAUCUCCAAGAAGACUUGAUGAACACAAAUUGAAGCACAGAAGGAGGUCAAGGUCAAGAUCUGCUGAAGGAAAGCAGCGCCUCAAUGAUAGAGCUGAUAAAAGUAGAGAUGAAAAAGCAAAGAGGCAUAGGAGAAGAAGGUCCAGAUCAGUAUCACUAGAACGUGAGAGUCAGAGAGGAAGUAUGUUAUCCCCAAGAAGUUCAGUUGAAAAUGAUUUAAAGCCCAGGAGGCGGCGCUCUAGGUCAGAAUCUUCUGAAGGCAAAAAUCAAAGGUCUAAAAGAGAUAAGAAUGGUGAUGAUGAACUAAAGCAUUAUGAAGAUGGCAAUGAGGAAUCAGGUUCGCUGAUGAACUAUUCAACCAAGAAAAGUAAUGAUCAGAUGGUCACUUCAAGUAAAGAGGACUUUUCCUCAAAGGGAUCGCUGGGAAAUAUGGAAACACAGGACAGUCGAGGUAUCGGUGAUCUUGACAGUGAAGGAUUGAGCAGACAGGAUGAUCUUUGGAAAGCUGGUCCAGAAUAUCAAAGUGAUUAUGAAAAGUCACCUAAUGGGGAUGAUGUUUCCAGAGCAGGCUCUGGGAAGGAUUACAACAUGCUGAAGGCUCAGAAUAGAAGCUCUCUGGCAUCUAAGGCGGAUAUGUUUUCUGAUGACGCUAGUGCAGAAGAGUAAAACUUGUGAAAGUAUGAAUGGAGACCAUGGGGCUUUAGAUCAAGACUAUCUCUCACUGUAGGUGUUGAUGAGUUUGGUUGCAAUGAUACAGACUCCAGCAUAAUACGAGGGACUAUUCGAGGAGCUCAAACAGUCUGGGGAAUGGGCUGCUACUUCUCAUAAGACGGGCGCUUUUUCUUGGAAGAUUGCUUAGUGUUUCUAUUGUUGUGUGCCUCUUCAUAAGUACUCUCUUUCUUUGUUUAUCUUGUUGCAGGUCCUCGUGUCGGUCUCUGAGCUGAUCUGGAUAUGGUUUAUGUAUUUCAAGAGUGUUCUGAUAUCAUCUGCAAUCAUCCAUCCAGUGUUUGUAGUGAGCUUCUUUAACAGAUUGAUGUUACUCAUGGUGAUUUUGGUUGGAGCUUUCUGAGAUUCAAUUUGGCAGGGUGAUUUUCACUGACGAAGGACUGGUUCUGGUUAGGUAAAGCUACUUCUAAGUUCGAGUGAUAUCGGACGUUGCUGGGAUGAAUUGUGUCAAACUUGCACAUUAUUUGGGUAUGAGCAGAUCACCUGAUUUACAAUCUUGACUUAAAUUCGUGGUGAUUUGAAAAUGUUGUUUUUUAGCAGGUAAUUGAUAAAACUUCAGGGUUGAGUUCCAUUUCUUGAUAUAACAUCUGGUUUAUACGUUCAGAUAUAGUUGUAUCAUUGGUGUUGGAAAUUUCACUAAACCAAACAAACAAAUGUUGGAUGAGCUCUGGAUGGUCUGACUGCUGCUGCCCUUUUGGUCUCAACUGAGUAUGCUCGACUGAGUAUCCGUGUUUUAGCUUCGACUGUGUUCUUCUCCCUUCUAUAUUUGAUUACUUUUUUUUUUUUCAAGAAUAAUUCAUAGUUAGAGAGGGAUCUUUAGGAGGGAACAGGUUUCAAGUUGGAAAUGCAUUUUGUUCUUGUUUGGCCUCUUUUGUAAGACGGUCACCAAUGGAGGAUUUCAUACUUCCUCAGCUUCUGUACUUCCAACUUAUCAUGGUAAACAUGUCCUUAGUGUUUGGGAAAUGUGUCUACACUUCCUUUGAGAUGUAGAUCAUUUCUGGUUGAUCAAAAAGAAUAGAGGGUUCAAAUCAAUUUUAUUUUUCUUCA